rnacentral:rRNA from 1 species
GACGAACGCUGGCGGCGUGCUUAACACACGCAAGUCGAACGGAAAGGCCCUGCUUUUGUGGGGUGCUCGAGUGGCGAACGGGUGUGUAACACGUGAGUAACCUGCCCUUGACUUUGGGAUAACUUCAGGAAACUGGGGCUAAUACCGGAUAGGAGCUCCUGCUGCAUGGUGGGGGUUGGAAAGUUUCGGCGGUUGGGGAUGGACUCGCGGCUUAUCAGCUUGUUGGUGGGGUAGUGGCUUACCAAGGCUUUGACGGGUAGCCGGCCUGAGAGGGUGACCGGCCACAUUGGGACUGAGAUACGGCCCAGACUCCUACGGGAGGCAGCAGUGGGGAAUAUUGCACAAUGGGCGGAAGCCUGAUGCAGCAACGCCGCGUGCGGGAUGACGGCCUUCGGGUUGUAAACCGCUUUCGCCUGUGACGAAGCGUGAGUGACGGUAAUGGGUAAAGAAGCACCGGCUAACUACGUG